UCUCUCAUUCUCAGGUAUGGUGCAAUAAUUCGCAGCUGCCGGUCGAUCACCUUGUGGCUGGAUCCUUCGAGACUGCCGCUCGGCUCCUUCAUGACCAGGUCGGAGUGGUGAACUUUGCCCCGUACAAGAGCCUCUUCCUUCAGGCCUUUGCCCGCGGUCGCUCAGUGUACCAGGCCCUGCCCUGUCUCCCCGCCAUGUGCGGUUACCCCCAACGUAACUGGAAGGAAGCGGGUCUGAAGAGCGGCCUUCCGGCCGUGGGCCUGAAGCUCAGUGACCUGAUCCAGCGGCUGCAGCACUGCUACCAGCUGACCACGGCCGGCAAGUUCGAGGAGGCGGUCGAACGCUUCCGCCUCAUCCUCCUCAGCAUUCCCCUCCUCGUGGUGGACAACAAGCAGGAAAUCG